rnacentral:snRNA from 1 species
CUAUUCUGUUUUCUCUUCAGUUUGUAUAAAUCUUUUGCGUUUUAUUAAAGAUUUCCAUGGAGAGGAACAUUUGUGAGUUUGUACCCAUUUUUUUGAGGUUUUGCUUUGGCAAGGCU